ACCAGCUGUGGGUCCUUAGGCCAGUGAGCUUCUCUCUUUGGCUCUUGACUUUCCUCAUCAGGAAAGUAGAUCAGGUUGGUUUACUCUAGACUGUUGAAUGGGGCGCCUCAAACUUCCACGUGCAGAGGAAUCGCUUGGGGAUCUAGUUAAAGGCAGAUCCUGAUUCAUAUGUCUGCUCUCAAGCUGGGGAGCUGAGUCUUACUGGGUUAGAGGAGACUGCAAAUCCAAAGAGCUCCCAGGUGUUGCUGAUGCUGCUGGUCCACGCGCCUCGCUUUCCCCAGCCGGAGUCAUCAUCUGUAAUGUUGAACCUGCUGUGAGUCUAGAAAAAAGCAAACCAAAGUUGAAGCCCUGAGGCUCUGAGAAACUCAGAUGGUAUUUUUUUCAAUGGAUGGAGAACAUGGCAGAGAGAAGCUGAGGGAGUCUGGAAGGUGGACGAUUUAGGCCCAGGGAGACGGGACCUUAGUCGGGCUCCUCUGGCUAGACUCGAAGCUCCUUGAGGGCAAAGACCAUUUCCAAAUCAUUUCUCUAUCUUGUGUGUUGGAUGAAUGAAAAAAAUGAGUACUGAUUGUGAAGAAAAAUCUAGAUUCAGAGCCCGUUGGAUGUUGGGAGUCUUAAGAACUAUCCUACCUCUUUCCAAAUGACAGGUGUGAGGAAUUAUGCAGACAAGCAAUAUGAUUGGCAGGAGACAGUCACCUAAGCAGACCAAUGCGUUGGAGGAAGGGAAGGGUCCUGAAGCCAAGAGGCAUCGAGAUGACUGACACUUAACCAAUUGCUCAUAAGUAACAACUACCUCAAGGCCAGAGGUGAUUGGAUCAGAAGUGGACACUGGCCCAACUUCAGCCUCCUCUCCUCUUUGGGAUACACCCAAGCUGCCGAUGUGUCUAGAAUGGCUCCAUCCUGCCAGCUGCCUUGCUCUUCCUCUGCUCAGAAGCAGCUCCAUUUUGCCAGAUAAGUGGAGGAUACAUCCCAAGGAAACGUUUUGCCAUCAGGCCAUGGUGUCGGGUUCUGACAGAUUGUGUGGCCGAUUUGUCAUUCACUGCGAGUGUCUUAAAGUCUCUAUCAGAGAGCAGGCGUUGCACAUUUGUGGAAUUCAGUGAUUGUUUUCUAUUAAAAGCACAGUGUUAGAGCUCUGAAGCUGUCAAGUCAGGAUGAUGUUGCCACAUCCUCUGAUGCAGCCCUUUCUGGAUGAUUUUUAAGUGGUAAAGUGUUAGGUUUCUGAAAUGAGAAGAGAUCUCAGAAAAGCUAAUAAAAACAUCCAAUGAAUAAAUCUGUCCUCACACAUUAGCUGAGUACUCAGUGUGCCCAGCAUUAUGACAAUCAUAAUAAAUGUCUAUGUGCACUCAUUCUAUUACAUAUGUUAUAUCAGAUAUAAUACUAUAUAUUAUAUUAUUAACUAUAUCAUAUUUUGUCCAAUUCCCUUUAAAUUUUUUAAAAAUUUUAAAAUAGUAAUGAAAAGUAAAUUGUUGAAAAAAGUGAAAUUUUUGUGAUGAGACUUUAGCCAUAUUCGUAAAAUGAGUUUAUGUGCCUGAAGGAACAAAUAUUUAAAAUAUAAGCAAUAAAGCCCAGAUAUAUUUCUGUACUGCAUACUUACAACUGGGGAAAACCAAACAGAGUUCAGGAAAGAGGAGCAUGAAGGACAGUGUGAUGCAGCCCCCUGGAUCCUCUUUUAGUGGACUUGUUGCCGCGGCUGCUGGGAGUGCUGCUGGCAGACAGUCUUAGCCAUCAGCCCCUUAGGGUUGCCUCAAGUCUACACAGCCACCUAGCCAAGGUCAUGCCCUUCCCAGGGAAGCCCACCCCCAAUGGCUGAUUGAUGCAAGAGCAUAGAGGCUAUCUUGCACCAGCACCAGGAGACCUCUUAUCUCCUAGAGCUGGAGGGCAGAAAGAACUGUAGACCAGGCCCAAGACGUAAUCAUCAAAGUAACUGAGCAUCCAAAGAUGAAGUCUCCUGAUGGAGGCAGGACUGUCAUGUCAAAGUCAGGGCCCCAGUUGAGAAAGAACAGGACCCUGACUGGCAGGAUGAAGACAUCUGGGUUGAUGACCUCCAAAAUCUUGAAUUUUUGUGGAUGAAAAUAUUGCAAUUGCAGUCAAUGGCAAGGUCAAAGUGGAUCCUGAUACGGAGAGAAUGAUGAGAUGGUUAAUAGAAUGUGAUGGAUGUGUUUGGCACCCAGAUUGUCCACUGGGGUGGCUCUUGGUCUUCCUUAUCCAAUUUUGAUGGUGAAUGGGCAAGAGUGGCAAUUCAGACCUAUCGGGGGUGAGGGUCCUGGUCACACCUCUCACCACACAGGUAUGCCACUGAGAUCAGUGGAGAUGCGGGCUAAGGGUGAGUGGAAUCUAAAAUGGAUGGUAGAGGAGAGUGGAGAUGAGUAUCGGUUGUGGUCCUAAGGCUAGCUACGGCGGCGGGGGGACUAUAGUUUCCUUCAGGAAGAGGGGUCCAUUGGAAUCCCAGAGUUGCUUCUUUCAGAACAUAUAUGAAGUUGUGGAUCCUAGCAGUACGAGGUGUGGCUGAGAUGGACAUAGAAAUGUGCUGUGCAGAUCCCGUCUCAGUGAAGAACUUGCAAUGUGGGCAGACAGCCUUCAGAUGUUAAUCCCUGAAGGAUGGUCUCAGCUGCAGAGAGGCACCUCAGCAAGACUAAGCCCUUCUUGGGGGUGCUUAUAUCCAAAGACUAAUUUAUGAAGGGGUAUAAAUUGCCUGGCCGUUUUGGGACAACAUGGAAGGGCCCCUCUAGUCCCAGCUGAGGCUCUCUUUGGGCCUGCAUUGCAGCUCAGUUCUCCCUCUGCCCACUCCUGCUUCCUUACCCUCCAUAUCACAGAUGAUCCCAGGGCACUCCUUUGUAAAUAUCUUGCAUGCUAAAUUCUGUCUCAGAAUCUGCUUCCCAGAGAACCCAUGUGCAACAGGGAGGUUUUAUUUGAUUGUAUAUUUUAGUUAUUGUGUCUCAUAUUUAUUUUAAUUUAAAAAAGUCACCUCCUGCUACCUCCCACUCCUAACCCUUUUCGUGCCUUUGAUUUGUCCUGUAGAAAUCUGGUUUGGGCUAUUUGUUUCCUCAUGGUGUCAUUUAACUCGUUGCUACAUUGCCUGUAUUUCCUGUAAACUGGAAACUAGAUAUAAAGUUUUGAUUGGAUUGAAGUUCAACAUUUUGGAGAAGAAGACAUUUUGAAAGAACUGUGUGCUUCCCAUUGCAUCAUCCCAGGAGGCGUAGUGACUCGUCGUCCCACUUUGAUGCUGCCAAGAUGGAUCUGUCUGACCCUCCAUUGUAACACUGAGUUUCUCCGCUCAUGACUAUCAGGGAAUAUGUGGAAUAAUGCUGUGGUCAAGUUGCCCACAAACCUUUCUUCUAAUGAUUACAGCACCCAUUGACAAUCUUUGCUUGAAUUUCUUUAGGGGCCGCGAAAUGAUCUAUUUCUAUUUUUCUUUCCACAUUGAUUGGCUAGAAUUCUUCAAAGAUUUUCUUCAUCUAACCAUGGCUCUUUGAAGAGUUCACACAAGAAAGAUUCCUCCAAUGGUGACAAAAACAAUUUUUUAUGCAUGUGUAAUUUUGGGGGUUACAUUUUAAUUUUGUUUUGUUUGUGGUUUUCUCUUUGUAUGAGUUUCAUAUUAUUAAUUGACAGCAUUUUAAAACAUAUUUAGUUGUCUUGAUCGGUUGCAGUUAUUUUUAUUAUUUUUCUAUCAUAGGAAUUUAGAAAUAUAUAAAAGUAGAAAGAAUAGUUCAACCAACUUGAUUUCCUGUACAGCAUUUGACUUUAACAAUUAUCAAAAUUUGGUCAAUCUUAUUUACCUUUCCUCUACUUCUCCACAGAUUAUACUAAAGCCAAUCUUGGACCUAAUGCCAUUUCAUCUGUAGACAGUUCAGUCUAUAUCUCUACAACAUAAGAACUAUAAAUAAAAACAAAAAUAAAACCAUAAUCCCAUUAUCACAUCUAAAAAUUAAUGAUUUCUUAGAAUUAUCAAAUACCCAGUGUUCACAUUUUCUGAUUGUAUUAAGAAUCUUUUUAAAAAAAAUUCUUUGUGAUACUUUUUGGCUCCUGAUCCAGACAAGUUCCACACAUUGUAAUUGGUUUAUAAUUUCUCAAGUCUCUUUUGAUUUGUAGGUUUCCCUCCAUUUCUUUUUUUCUCCAAUUUUUGUUAUUGUUGAAGAAACAAAGUUACUAGUCCUGCAGAGUUUCCCAAAGUUUGGAUUUUACUGAUUGCAUCUUUAAGUUGUCAUUUAACAUGUUCCUCUGACUUGUCUAUUGCUAAUUGGAGCAAAUUUGAUCCUUUUUUUUUUGUUUUUUGCAAGACUACUUUAUAGAGAGUGGUGGUUUUCUCCAACAGGAGGCACAUGGUGUACGACUGUCUGUCUUUCUGUGAUGUGAGCAUCCACUGAUGAUUAUUGCCUUGAUUCAUUUAUCUAUCAGAAGUUGCAACAUGAU
rnacentral:lncRNA from 1 species